ACAGGGGCCAGGCCCACCCUGGAAAUGGCUUCAUUCAUUCAGCACUAGACUCUGAAAGGAAGGAGGCGGAGCCAGUUCCUGCCCCGAGGAGCCUACUCUGGAGCAGGGGCAGAUCCUCCCUGGGAGAUGCAUGGAAUAUCCCUACUUGGCAGACAAAGAAAUGAAGACCACAGAGGCUGGGCACCUCAUCCAGGUCACUGAGAAAGAACCAGCAGAACACGGAUUUGACCCCAGGUCUGUGCUGCCUGCAUGGAACUAGCCUGAGAGUUCCCCGUGGGCAGCCGACCCCGCGAUUUCCUUCUCUCUUACUGCUCCAGUCAUCCAACGCUGCUGCCGGCCAGCGCAACAUAC